UGCAUAUCAAAAAGCGGAGGAAAAGAAACUAACAAGGAUUCCCCUAGUAACGGCGAGUGAAGCGGGAAGAGCUCAAAUUUGUAAUCUGGCCCUUUCAGGGUCCGAGUUGUAAUCUCGAGAAGUGUUUUCCGCGCCGGACCGCAUACAAGUCUGUUGGAAUACAGCGUCAUAGUGGUGAGAGCCCCGUAAUUGAUGUGGAUGCCCGGUGCUUUGUGAUACACUUUCGAAGAGUCGAGUUGUUUGGGAAUGCAGCUCAAAUUGGGUGGUAAAUUCCAUCUAAAGCUAAAUAUUGGCGAGAGACCGAUAGCGAACAAGUACCGUGAGGGAAAGAUGAAAAGCACUUUGGAAAGAGAGUUAACAGUACGUGAAAUUGUUGGAAGGGAAACGCUUGAAGUCAGACUUGCUAUUCGGAAUUCAGCCGCAAGGUGUACUUUUCGAUUUGCAGGCCAGCAUCAGUUUUUGGGGGUGGAAAAGGGUGGAGAGAAGGUAGCAACCUUGGUUGUGUUAUAGCUCUUUACUGGAUUCAUCUUUGGGGACUGAGGAUCGCAGUGCGCAAUUUACUUUGCAAACCUUUCGAGGUUUUCGUACUUAGGAUGCUGGUGGAAUGGCUUUAAACGACCCGUCUUGAAACCACGGACCC
rnacentral:rRNA from 1 species